rnacentral:rRNA from 1 species
AUGAAGAGUUUGAUCCUGGCUCAGGAUGAACGCUAGCUACAGGCUUAACACAUGCAAGUCGAGGGGCAGCAUUUUAGUUUGCUUGCAAACUAAAGAUGGCGACCGGCGCACGGGUGAGUAACACGUAUCCAACCUGCCGAUAACUCGGGGAUAGCCUUUCGAAAGAAAGAUUAAUAUCCGAUAGUAUAUUAAAACCGCAUGGUUUUACUAUUAAAGAAUUUCGGUUAUCGAUGGGGAUGCGUUCCAUUAGUUUGUUGGCGGGGUAACGGCCCACCAAGACUACGAUGGAUAGGGGUUCUGAGAGGAAGGUCCCCCACAUUGGAACUGAGACACGGUCCAAACUCCUACGGGAGGCAGCAGUGAGGAAUAUUGGUCAAUGGACGAGAGUCUGAACCAGCCAAGUAGCGUGAAGGAUGACUGCCCUAUGGGUUGUAAACUUCUUUUAUAUGGGAAUAAAGUAUUCCACGUGUGGGAUUUUGUAUGUACCAUAUGAAUAAGGAUCGGCUAACUCCGUGCCAGCAGCCGCGGUAAUACGGAGGAUCCGAGCGUUAUCCGGAUUUAUUGGGUUUAAAGGGAGCGUAGGUGGAUUGUUAAGUCAGUUGUGAAAGUUUGCGGCUCAACCGUAAAAUUGCAGUUGAAACUGGCAGUCUUGAGUACAGUAGAGGUGGGCGGAAUUCGUGGUGUAGCGGUGAAAUGCUUAGAUAUCACGAAGAACUCCGAUUGCGAAGGCAGCUCACUAGACUGCAACUGACACUGAUGCUCGAAAGUGUGGGUAUCAAACAGGAUUAGAUACCCUGGUAGUCCACACAGUAAACGAUGAAUACUCGCUGUUUGCGAUAUACAGUAAGCGGCCAAGCGAAAGCAUUAAGUAUUCCACCUGGGGAGUACGCCGGCAACGGUGAAACUCAAAGGAAUUGACGGGGGCCCGCACAAGCGGAGGAACAUGUGGUUUAAUUCGAUGAUACGCGAGGAACCUUACCCGGGCUUAAAUUGCAUUUGAAUAAUCUGGAAACAGGUUAGCCGCAAGGCAAAUGUGAAGGUGCUGCAUGGUUGUCGUCAGCUCGUGCCGUGAGGUGUCGGCUUAAGUGCCAUAACGAGCGCAACCCUUAUCUUUAGUUACUAACAGGUUAUGCUGAGGACUCUAGAGAGACUGCCGUCGUAAGAUGUGAGGAAGGUGGGGAUGACGUCAAAUCAGCACGGCCCUUACGUCCGGGGCUACACACGUGUUACAAUGGGGGGUACAGAAGGCAGCUACCUGGCGACAGGAUGCUAAUCCCAAAAACCUCUCUCAGUUCGGAUCGAAGUCUGCAACCCGACUUCGUGAAGCUGGAUUCGCUAGUAAUCGCGCAUCAGCCAUGGCGCGGUGAAUACGUUCCCGGGCCUUGUACACACCGCCCGUCAAGCCAUGAAAGCCGGGGGUACCUGAAGUACGUAACCGCAAGGAGCGUCCUAGGGUAAAACUGGUAAUUGGGGCUAAGUCGUAACAAGGUAGCCGUACCGGAAGGUGCGGCUGGAACACCUCCUUU